rnacentral:lncRNA from 1 species
AUGAAAAUAAUUUUAUUUAUUAGAGGAAACACCAUGUCAUAGUCACAAUGAUCAAAUCACAACCAUACUCAUCAAUAGAGAAAAUAAAAUAAAUCAUGAAAUGCUCAGAUUUCAAUAUCAUGCUUCACAAAGUCAUUCCAACUUAUAUCUCUGAGGAUAGAUAUGGAUUUCUGACUACCUAUGUGGAAAGACCAUAUCAGAUAUAGAUAA